CUGAAGAGUGACCUAUUAUUGAACCAUCACCUCAAACCGCACAGCGCAACAACAAAAACAAGCUGACACCAUCGCGUGGUAAAGCACAGCGAGCUCCGGCCCUCGGAGUGCCUGAGGAGUUAUUUCAGGGUUGGAAAGGGGGAACAGCGUCACCGUGGCAACGAUGUCUCACUUGUGUCUGCAGCAGCGGCUCCCGACGGACUGAGGGUCACGCGACCCCCCGCGCAUGACGGUGACACGGCCACCCUGUCAUUUCAAAGCUGAAUCCCUCAAGUUCAGGGUUCCAGUGGUUCAGGCUGCAGUCAGGAAAAAAAAAGAACGGCUCAUCCCCAAGUCGCCCAAGUCGCCCAGGAUGUCCGUGGUGGCGCUGGAGGAUUCUGGACCGGGACCAAGCUGCUCGUCUGGGAUGCUUCCCCUAACGAGCUGAUUGUGCACUUGAACAUUCUGAAGAUGCGUCUCUUCUCUGCGAUGACCGUCGUCUUUUUAUUUGAAG
ensembl:lncRNA